GCAUUCCUACAAAAUAGUGUUAAUGCACUAGAUCCCAUUAGAACUCCGCAGUUAAGUGUGCUCAGGAUAGAGUAGUACUGGGAUGAGUGACCACCCAGGAAGUCCUUGUGUUUUACAUGCC
rnacentral:rRNA from 1 species